rnacentral:rRNA from 1 species
AACGAACGCUGGCGGCAGGCUUAACACAUGCAAGUCGAACGCCCCGCAAGGGGAGUGGCAGACGGGUGAGUAACGCGUGGGAAUCUACCCAGAUCUACGGAACAACAGAGGGAAACUUCUGCUAAUACCGUAUACGCCCUACGGGGGAAAGAUUUAUCGGAUUUGGAUGAGCCCGCGUAAGAUUAGCUAGUUGGUGGGGUAAUGGCCUACCAAGGCGACGAUCUUUAGCUGGUCUGAGAGGAUGAUCAGCCACACUGGGAGUGAGACACGGCCCAGACGCCUACGUGAGGCAGCAGUGGGGAAUAUUGGACAAUGGGCGCAAGCCUGAUCCAGCCAUGCCGCGUGAGUGAUGAAGGCCUUAGGGUUGUAAAGCUCUUUCACCGAUGAAGAUAAUGACGGUAGUCGGAGAAGAAGCCUCGGCUAACUCCGUGCCAGCAGCCGCAGUAA